UCUACUGAUCCUUUUGCCACUUCAAGUACUGACCCUUUCAGUGCAUCCAGCAAUAGCAGUAAUACAUCGGUAGAGACUUGGAAGCACAAUGACCCAUUUGCUCCUGGUGGGACAGUUGUUGCAGCUACUGACUCAGCCACAGACCCUUUUGCUUCUGUUUUUGGAAAUGAAUCAUUUGGAGAUGGAUUUGCUGACUUCAGCACAUUAUCUAAGGUCAGCAAUGAAGAUCCUUUUAAUCCUACCAUAUCAAGUUCUGCCAGCAGUGUGGUCAUUCCAAAACCUGUGUUAGAGGAAACACCCAGCAAGAGUGAAGAUGUGCCUCCAGCACUGCCACCCAAGACCGGCACUCCAACAAGACCCUGCCCACCACCCCCUGUAUCCCUCUGAAGAAGACAUGAUUGAGUGGGCCAAGAGGGAGAGUGAGCGAGAAGAAGAGCAGAGGCUCGCCAGACUAAAUCAGCAGGAACAAGAAGACUUGGAACUGGCCAUUGCACUUAGCAAAUCAGAGAUCUCAGAAGCAUGAAGAGUCCUCUGUCCCCGUCAGCCGCACAUGCUCUUCCUGAAUACCGAAGCUGUUUACCAUGUGCAUCCAACUACCUAUGAGCAUGGGAUACAAAGGUUUGCGAUUCCUGUAAAUGUGACAAGUCUAGUUUGUUCGUUUGGGGGGGGGGGAACUUCAAAUGUGUCUUUUAUUUUUUCUUCCAAAAGCAGUACCCUAAUUAAACAGCUUUGCCUAGA
rnacentral:lncRNA from 1 species